UUUAUUGUUUCUAUUAUAUUUAGUUGAUUUAGUUUUCUUUCAUUUUCUAUAUGUUUAUUCUUUUGCAGCAAUCAAGAGUAAAAGAGAAAUUUCCUUAAAAAAUGAUAUGAGAAUUUUACUCAAACAUGUGCAUUGCACAUGCGCGCGGAAAAAUAACUCAGGGUUUAUGGCUCUAACAAAAUUAAAAACCUACCGUCUAACAGUUGAAAGUUAAAGGGCAAAUGUGCACACUAUCCCAAAAAUUUUAUGGGGAGUUUUGCAUGAUUUCUCCUAAUUGUUAACAAUUUUGAAUAUUUUAUUAUACUUACAAUUGCUUGAGGUAAUUUUUCCUAUCCUUCUUAUUUCUUCUGUUUCAUCAUAAAACUCGAUUUACUUUUACUAGUUUAUGUUUUCAGUACGGCUU
rnacentral:lncRNA from 1 species